AGCUGGUUAUAGCUCUUUUACUACUUGUCCAGAAGGUUCCCGCCCAUUGAGGCAGGAACUACCCCU